AGUGAACGCUGGCGGUAGGCCUAACACAUGCAAGUCGAACGGCAGCACAGGAGAGCUUGCUCUCUGGGUGGCGAGUGGCGGACGGGUGAGGAAUACAUCGGAAUCUACUUUUUCGUGGGGGAUAACGUAGGGAAACUUACGCUAAUACCGCAUACGACCUACGGGUGAAAGCAGGGGACCUUCGGGCCUUGCGCGAUUGAAUGAGUCGAUGUCGGAUUAGCUAGUUGGCGGGGUAAAGGCCCACCAAGGCGACGAUCCGUAGCUGGUCUGAGGGGAUGAUCAGCCACACUGGAACGAGGACACGGUCCAGACUCCUACGGGAGGCAGCAGUGGGGAAUAUUGGACAAUGGGCGCAAGCCUGAUCCAGCCAUACCGCGUGGGUGAAGAAGGCCUUCGGGUUGUAAAGCCCUUUUGUUGGGAAAGAAAUCCAGCUGCUAAUACCCGGUUGGGAUGACGGUACCCAAAGAAUAAGCACCGGCUAACUUCGUGCCAGCCGCCGCGGUAA
rnacentral:rRNA from 1 species